AAUAGAUACCCGGGUAGUCCACGCCGUAAACGAUGUCGACUUGGAGGUUGUUCCCUUGAGGAGUGGCUUCCGGAGCUAACGCGUUAAGUCGACCGCCUGGGGAGUACGGCCGCAAGGUUAAAACUCAAAUGAAUUGACGGGGGCCCGCACAAGCGGUGGAGCAUGUGGUUUAAUUCGAUGCAACGCGAAGAACCUUACCUACUCUUGACAUCCAGAGAACUUAGCAGGGAUGCUUUGGUGCCUUCGGGAACUCUGAGACAGGUGCUGCAUGGCUGUCGUCAGCUCGUGCUGUGAAAUGUUGGGUUAAGUCCCGCAACGAGCGCAACCCUUAUCCUUUGUUGCCAGCGGUUAGGCCGGGAACUCAAAGGAGACUGCCAGUGAUAAACUGGAGGAAGGUGGGGAUGACGUCAAGUCAUCAUGGCCCUUACGAGUAGGGCUACACACGUGCUACAAUGGCGCAUACAAAGAGAAGCGACCUCGCGAGAGCAAGCGGACCUCAUAAAGUGCGUCGUAGUCCGGAUUGGAGUCUGCAAC
rnacentral:rRNA from 1 species